CGGAAGAGACCGAAGUCCUGUAAUUACGUUUCUCAAAUUUUAAAGCGAAGACCAUAAAUAUGGGUGUGACUAUUGAAGUUUAUCGGGCCAGGAUUGGUUCACAUCACAAUUUUACACAUUGUCGCAACAGUUUGUGUCGUCUUAAAGACUUUCAAAUGAUGUGGAGGAAAAUCCAGGUCCUAGGACUAUAAAU